rnacentral:misc_RNA from 1 species
AACGCACCUUGCGCCCUUUGGUAUUCCGAAGGGCAUGCCUGUUUGAGUGUCAGUAAAUUAUCAACCCUACAACUUUUUAUAAGUUGUUAGUGGCUUGGAAGUGGGGGUUGCGGGCUUAUAAUAAAGUCGGCUCUCCUUAAAUGUAUUAGCAGGACGUUUAUUGCGUAACUGUCUAUCGAUGUGAUAAUUAUCUACGUCGUUAAAUGGUUUCGUAGUCCGCUUCUAAUCGUCAAUUACUUUGACAAUUACUUGACAAUUUGACCUCAAAUCAGGUAGGACUACCCGCUGAACUUAA